GUCAUUUCUUUGGUUUUUGGCCUAUGAUCAAGAAUAGUAUCUGUUCUUAUCACUUAACAUCUCAUUAGUUCUCUACCUGAGAACACCUUAUCAAGUGGAUUUUUGGAACAAGGAGAUUGAGUAAAAGCUUGCUCAUCCAUUCCACAAAUCAACGUGGUAUCACAGUUCUUCUGUGACUGGGGUGGUUCUU